GAAAUCCCAUUUUUGGGUCUGGAAGAGGUCCAGAAAUCCCAAUUUUGGGUCAAGGAAUCCCAUUUUUGGGUUAAGAAAUCCCAAUUUUUGGUCCCCAAAUCCUAUUUUUGGGUCAAAAACUCCCAUUUUUGGGUCUUGAAAUCCCAUUUUUUGGUCCCAAUUCCCAUUUUUGGCUCAAAAAGUCCCAUUUUUGGGUCCAAAACUCCCAUUUUUGAGUCCCAAAAUCCCAUUUUUGGGUCAAGAAAUCCCAAUUUUUUGGUCCCAAAUCCCAUUUUUCGGUCCAAAAGUCCCAUUUUUGGGUUUCAAAUUCCCAUUUUUGAGUCUCAAAUUCCCAUUUUUGUGUCUCAAAAUCCCAAUUUUGGGUCCAAAAGUCCCAAUUUUGGGUUGAGAAAUCCCAUUUUUGGGUGCAGAAAUCCCAAUUUUGGGUCAAGAAAUCCCAUUUUUGGAUUUCGGAAGGGGCCCAAAAGUCCCAAUUUUUGGGUCCAAAACUCCCAUUUUUGGGUCUCAGAAUCCCAUUUUUGGUCCCCAAAUCCCAUUUUUGAGUCUAAAAAUCCCAUUUUUGGGUCCCAAAAUCCCAAUUUUGGCUCCAGAAAUCCCAAUUUUGGGUCCAAAACUCCCAAUUUUGGGUCAAGAAAUCCCAUUUUUGGAUUUCAGAAGGGGCCCAAAAGUCCCAUUUUUGGGUCCAAAAGUCCCAUUUUUGAGUCCCAAACUCCCAUUUUUGAGUCCCCAAAUCCCAAUUUUGGGUCCAAAACUCCCACUUUUGGGUGCAGAAACCCCACUUUUGGGUCCCCAAAUCCCACUUUGGGGUCUCAACCCCCCAAUUUUGGGUGGAAAAGCCCCGAUUUUGGGUCUCAAAUUCCCAUUUUUGAGUCCAAAACUCUCAAUUUUGGGUCAAGAAAUCCCAUUUUUGGAUUUCGGAAGGGGCCCACCAGCCCCAUUUUUGGGUCCAAAACUCCCAUUUUUGGGUCGAGAAAUCCCAUUUUUUGGUUCCCAAAUCCCAUUUUUGGUCUCAAAUUCCCAUUUUUGGCUCCAGAAAUCCCAAUUUUGGGUUCAAAACUCCCAAUUUUGGGUUGA
rnacentral:lncRNA from 1 species